UACGUAGGUGGCAAGCGUUGUCCGGAAUUAUUGGGCGUAAAGCGCGCGCAGGUGGUUCCUUAAGUCUGAUGUGAAAGCCCCCGGCUCAACUGGGGAGGGUCAUUCGAUACUGAUCGACUCGAAGGCAGGAGAGGGAAGUGGAAUUCCCGGUGUAGUGGUGAAAUGCGUAGAUAUCGGGAGGAACACCAGUGGCGAAGGCGACUUCCUGGCCUGUUCUUGACGCUGAGGCGCGAAAGCUAGGGGAGCAAACGGGG
rnacentral:rRNA from 1 species